UAUAGAGACUCAGAGCUGCAUAUCAAUAAGCGGAGGAAAAGAAACUAACAAGGGUUCCCUUAGUAACGGCGAGUGAAGCGGGAAGAGCUCAAAUUUGAAAUCUUCAAGGUUCUACCUUGACGAAUUGUAGUUUAUAGAAGUGUUUUCUGUUAGUGGAGUGGCAGAAGUUCUUUGGAAUAGGACAUCAUAGAGGGUGAGAAUCCCGUAUUUGGUCAUUCCUCCUAGCGUUGUGAUACACUCUCAACGAGUCGGAUUGUUUGGGAAUGCAGUCCAAAAUGGGUGGUAAAUUUCAUCUAAAGCUAAAUAUUGGCGAGAGACCGAUAGCGAACAAGUACCGUGAGGGAAAGAUGAAAAGAACUUUGAAAAGAGAGUUAAACAGUACGUGAAAUUGUCAAAAGGGAAGCGUUUGACACCAGUGUUGUUUUUCCGAAAAUCAAUUACGAAUGUUUUGUUUUUGAGGAGUUAUGACUUCAUCGGCUUGCUCCUUUCUUUACGAAACUUUCUUAAUGCACUUUUCGGUUAACAAGUCAACAUCAAUUUCUUUUGUUGUAAAAGGGUAUGAGGAAGGUGGCUUUCUUUUCGGAGAAAGUGUUUAUAGCCUUGUGCCUUCUGCAAUCGGAGAGAUUGAGGUCUGCAGCGUAGAUCCUUCGGGGUUAGAUACGUUUGUGCUAAGUUAUAGCCUUUUCAUAGACAGCUUGAUUGACUAUGUUUCAGUCUUGUAGCCUACUCGCUGACGUCUAUUUUACCUACGCUUAGGAUGUUGAAGAUAUGCGCGACACG
rnacentral:rRNA from 1 species